GUUGAUGAUGAUAACCCCGAAUAGGAAGUGCCGUCAGAUGCGAGAACUGACGAUAACCUCCUCGUUUGUCUGAAA
rnacentral:snoRNA from 1 species